rnacentral:rRNA from 1 species
UACGUAGGGUGCAAGCGUUGUCCGGAAUUAUUGGGCGUAAAGAGCUCGUAGGCGGUUUGUCGCGUCUGCUGUGAAAACCCGAGGCUCAACCUCGGGCCUGCAGUGGGUACGGGCAGACUAGAGUGCGGUAGGGGAGAUUGGAAUUCCUGGUGUAGCGGUGGAAUGCGCAGAUAUCAGGAGGAACACCAAUGGCGAAGGCAGAUCUCUGGGCCGUAACUGACGCUGAGGGAAGCGGAAAGCAUGGGGAGCGAA